rnacentral:rRNA from 1 species
GACGAACGCUGGCGGCGUGCUUAACACAUGCAAGUCGAACGGUAAGGCCCUUCGGGGUACACGAGUGGCGAACGGGUGAGUAACACGUGGGUGAUCUGCCCUGCACUUCGGGAUAAGCCUGGGAAACUGGGUCUAAUACCGGAUAGGACUCCUGGCUUCAUGGUUGGGGGUGGAAAGCUUUUGCGGUGUGGGAUGGGCCCGCGGCCUAUCAGCUUGUUGGUGGGGUAAUGGCCUACCAAGGUGACGACGGGUAGCCGGCCUGAGAGGGUGACCGGUCACACUGGGACUGAGAUACGGCCUAGACUCCUACGGGAGGCAGCAGUGGGGAAUAUUGCACAAUGGGCGCAAGCCUGAUGCAGCGACGCCGCGUGAGGGAUGACGGCCUUCGGGUUGUAAACCUCUUUCAGCUAUGACGAAGCGCAAGUGACGGUAGUAGCAGAAGAAGGACCGGCCAACUACGUGCCAGCAGCCGCAGUAA